rnacentral:rRNA from 1 species
UACGGAGGGUGCAAGCGUUAUCCGGAUUCACUGGGUUUAAAGGGUGCGUAGGUGGCUUUGUAAGUCAGUGGUGAAAGCCCGGAGCUCAACUCCGGAACUGCCAUUGAUACUGCUUAGCUUGAAUCACGUCGAGGUGGAUGGAAUAAUACAUGUAGCGGUGAAAUGCUUAGAUAUGUAUUAGAACACCGAUUGCGAAGGCAGUUCACUAGGCGUGUAUUGACACUGAGGCACGAAAAGCGUGGGGGAUCAAACAGG